rnacentral:tRNA from 1 species
AAAAGAAUUAGUUAAAAGUAUAACCUGAACUUGUCAAGUUCAUAUUACCUAGGUGGUAUUCUUUU